AUGCACAGCAAACGUGCCAAACAUCAGGACAAACAGAUUCCUCCCAGUGCUGUCCCUGCAGGAGUUGACAUCUGUUUCCCUACUGUCUGCCCAUGUUGCAAUGCCUGCCCACCUCCCUUGGCAACAGACCUCACCUGCCCUGAUGGACUGGUUGGCACCAGCUCUUCAUCUGGAAUGGUCACCACAGUCCCUGUGAGUCCUGUGCAGUUGAGCCACUUUCACCAGCACCCCAGCCCUCUGGGUCCCUUUGUCCCAUGGCCUGACCAAAGGCAGACCUGCAUCUUCCCUCUCACCUGGCUCCCUGGCCAUGGCUCAGACAGGCAAAGGGCACUGUGACCUGGGACAAGCAGCAUGUUAACACUGUACACCCCAGUGGACAGCAUUACUCAAAACGGAUCUUGAGGCAAGAAUGUGGAAUUGCAAGAACAUGAAUUUACUAAAACAACUAUUUUAUAUGUGAUGAUGCAGCUGGC
rnacentral:lncRNA from 1 species